rnacentral:lncRNA from 1 species
GAAAGAGAAGACUCCCUCUUCUAUUUCAGAGCUACCCUCAAUUUCCUCAUUUAUCAGACUGGGUCAGGCAUACCUUCAUUGCAUAAUCACAAUGAGGAUUAUGUGAGUAGUGAUGCUAAGGUGCUUGCCAGCAUGUGACACUCCGCAGGGGCCGUGCAUUGUCCAUACAGAGAGGCCACUUCUGAGAAAAGAUAAGCGAUUUGUGUUUGUGGAAUCGUAAACCUGAAGAGAAUCAAGUUAUGUUAAUAUGAAUCCAAAUAGAUGGUAAUAAGCAUUUACUAGGUUUCUGCUAAAUGAGAGGCGAUAUACAGGUUAUUCCUGUAAUCUUUAGAACCCCCCUGUGAAUAUAAUCAUCUUCCUUGACUUACAAAUGGAUGUCGGAGGCUCAGUUAAACAUUUUGCAAAGUGCAGUUGAAAGUGCAUGUGCUUGAUAUUUGGCUGUCCCCCUUGCUCCUGGUAUAACCACAGGCAAGUUAACCUUUCUGAGCCUCAGUUUGGCCUGUGGUAAAAUGGGUCAAUGGUUGACACAAAGAGCAAGCUCUGCUUAGAUACAUCUGAUCAUGUUGGGUGGUUUGUGGCUUUUAUGUUCAGCUGUCCUAUGGACAGAAAUCAGUUCUGGAUUAGACUGCACCAAUUCAGAAUGGACUUAGAAUGGCAGAAAACUCACACAUCUGUUCAGUUGACUUUUGGUUUCCUUAAUGGACUGGUUCCAGGUCCUAUCUUGGAUACCAAAAUCUGAGGAUGCUCAUGUCUCUUUAUAUAAAUGAUGUAGUGUUUUUAUACAACCUACACACUCUCUCCUAGACUUGUAAUGCGUAAUACAAUAUAAGAUACAUUUUAAGUGUUAUAUAUACUCUAUUUAUUUAGGGAAUAAUGUCAGGAAAAAAGUUUGUACAUAUAUAGUAUAGACACAGUUUUCUCCUGAUAUUCUACACGGAUGUGGAGCCACACAUACAGAAUUGUGGAUACAAAGGCCGACUACACUACAAUGAGAGAGGCCCAUAGCAAGGGCCCUGACUCAGAUAACUGUCCAGAGAGGAGAAAUGUAUGUAUUCUUAACACCCACAAACCACUACUAGCUUAAGCACCCAGAGGCCCAGCAGCAUGCCCACCAGGACUUAGAAUAGUAGGAGCACACAGCUUAUACACAAAACAAGAAGGAUCAAAUUACCUUAAUGAUUUAAUACCAUUUUUUUGACAAACUAGAUAUUCUCAUCUACACUGUAGAAAGGGAAAGGUGUUCAUUUGCUUAUUUAUAGGUGGCAUAGUUUUAUUUUCUUAGCUGGGUGAGCUUUUAUAAUAAACUCCUUCCCACCUUAACAGAAAGAAGGGACACAGAUUGCCUAUACUUCUGUGGGCCUCUUAUUGUGGUACAGUGAAUGCCACUUCACUGAAGCUCACCCCAAUAUGAGAUUUGGAGUUGGUUGUAGUCAAUAAUGGCAUUGCUUGAGGUCUUCCAGAAAGAUUUUAAAUGUACCACCACUCCCACAUUACCACUCUAAAUAGGAUUAGCCAAAGUUCUGCUCUUUGCCUGGUUCUCAAAGUGUGACCCAGAACAGCAGCAUGCUUUUACAACACUGUGUACCAGCCUGGCACUGUGCCAAGCAUCACCUGGAAUUUCUUGGGAAUUGAAAUCAAAGAUGGGUGUUGGGUUAUAUGCUUAAAAUAUUUUCCCAGUUGGAGUUACUAUGGCCAUGCCUUGUGGCCCCAGCACUCUGAGUCUUUGCCCACCUAUUUGUCUUUCUGUGAGACUAGACCACCAAAUCCUGUUCUCAGGGCCAUCAGCCCUGCCCCCAAGCGUUCUCUCUGCCUUCCUUGGUUUUAAUGUGGACCCCCUCUGUUUUUCUGAGAAAGUAACCCUCUUCCCUCAAACCUUUGUCUGUUGAUUGUCCUGAAGUGCCUGAGUGUCUUCUCUGGGGAUACUGAUGGGAGGUGAUUUUUCUUUCUUUGCCUGGGCUUCUUAGAAAAAGCGUUAGCACCAGCUCUGUGUCCCAUCUGUAACAAGUGGCCAGGCCCACACAUCUUCCUCUGUUUGUCCUUUUCUCACUCUUAGUUUUAGCUUAUUUUCCUUCCAUUAUUUUACCUUUGUCCUUUUUCCCCCCUUACUGCAGACUUAUUUUUCAGUUCAGCUUGUCUUGUAUCCUAUGACUCUUUGCUACCAGCCUUCAUUAGUUUUGGAAAGAAACAGCUUAAAUAAAGUGAAAUACUUUUUGUUCUGAGAUGCAGUGGAUAUAAUACAAUGAGCAGACAGCAAAUGGAGGUGUCUUUUAAGUGGCCAUGUCCACCUGGAUUUGUGUAGUUCUAAACCCUGUGUCCCUUACUUUCUCAUGCGGAUAGAGAGAUUCAAUUAAAUUUUUUUUUUGGUUGUUUGUUUUAAUCCACAAAACUGGGAAUCAGGGAGAAGUAGAGAGCUAAAUAAAGGAAAUUGGGCACAAGGCCCUUUGGUGGGUUUUAGGUCUUCCUUCUCUAACAUAUGUAUGAAUAAGUGAAUGACUCCAAAAGGAGAGUAAUGGACAUUGCAACAUGAACAAUCUCUUCAUGAGGUUAGAGAUGCCUGCAAACACUUAUCUGAAUAAACUGAUCGCCAGGAGGUGGUGGAUACAUUGUAAUUCUGUUAAGUUAUAAGCUUUUCUGUUGACUUUGUACUUUCAAGCCCAAAUGCACUUUCAACAAAAAAGUAUGAUACCAGUUUUUCAUAGAUCCACAUACUUCUGAAUUCAGGGUAAAGUCACACCGGGUAUCUGGUUUAUUCAUUGAGUCACCUUAGCUAUGUGGAAGGCAGAAAGUCCAACAAGCCGUUUCUCCCCAUCCUCCUGCAGAUGCAAAAGUGGAAAGAAGGUUCUUACUCAGAUACACACUGUUACCAGCCUGGCACUGUGCCAAGCACUUAAUAAAAUUUCAACUUUUCACUUUCUAAUCUUGACACUAAGUCUAAGGAUGGUAGGCUUCAAAUUGUGUGAUGCUAGAUUUUAAUCUCAGUUCCAGGUUGGGUCCUAAUUUGAAAUUAGCUGGAACUUUACAGAUUUGAGGGUGAAAUGAAUGCUAAGCAGAACGUAAUAGAGUAGAACUUUGUUGUUCUUGCUGAAUCUCUGUUAAUUAAGAAUCAAGUGAUAUAAGUAAUGGAUAUAAAAGUGCUUUGUACUACCAGACUUUCCUACCAUGUAAGAGACUAUUACAUAAGUGACAUUUCAGUGGCUUUACAGCAUUAAGGGUCUCUAAUUAAUAGGGAAGAACAUUUGAGCUGUUCUCCUAAGCUAGAGGGCCUGGCUGUUGUCUUUAUUAGGUUGAGGAGGAAGCUCUGGAAGUCUGCUGGAAUUAGAGCAGCGGGUGUUGGAAAUGGACCUUUACAACUGCGAAACACAGAUAAUUGGGGUAUGAAAAUGGCACUUUAGCACCUAGUUAUCCUCACUUGGAUCUGGGAGCAUUUGAAGUGUGCAGAUCUAGUUCUUGGAAAUCCUGCAGUGAGAAGGGAGGCAAUGAAAUGUGUUUAUUGAGUGUCAAGCAUAACUUUCUAGGGUGAUUCUUUAAUCAUUUGUAUGAAUAGAAGGGGGGCGAUUGUGCACGAGACAUGGGCCAUUUCUCCAAAAAGAUCUCAUUCCCUGUGGCCUAGCCCCUGUGACUUGUUCCAGUCCACCAAAUAUCCAACCCUCUCCUUGGCCUCAUGCAGUUUUAUCAGUGUUGAACUGUCAUUGAAACAGAUCCUUGUAUUUGACAGACUCCUGUUACCCGAGAGUCUUCCUCAGAUAUGCAGAGCUGGGGCUUCUGCAUUCAGAUCUCUCCAGCCUGCUUCUUGGGCUUAGUCCAGAGCCUUGCACAGUCUGGGGAGAGGUUUGCCUCACCGUUUAAGAUGUGCUCAUGUGGACGAAAACUUUAUCGAGCCUUAGGAAUAAAAUAAAACUUAAAACCCAUUUCCUCUCUGCGUGUGUUACCUUGCUUGGUGACGCCUGGGUGCAGUGCUCUCUUAGAGCAUGUUCAGGGUGGUCAGCUUUUAGCAAACCUUUGUUUCCCAAACCUUUGACUUCCUGUGGACUUUUUGUGCUCUCUUAAGUUCAUUUCAUUUAAAAAAAGUAGAUUUACCACCACCCCCACUGGAAGGCUAAUCUGAGUAAGGAACAACUUGUUCCAAGUUCGGAUUAUGAGCUAUGCUUAAUUAUGGCUGAAGCCAUAGCUGAAGGCAAAGUUAAGGAGUUUGAAGGCAAAGGCUUCUCCCUACUGUCUUAAAACCACCCUUAGCCUGCUAGAGCAGGUGAGCUGUGGAAAUCACAAGUGAGGAAUGUCCACCCCCCUGACCUCUUUGCUACCUGUGAGCAGAUGGGGAACAGAGCAGGUGAGAGCAGGAACCAGAGCUUGGGGCUUCUGUGGAUUAGAGAUUUUCUGACCCCCUUCCAGGCAAACAAAUCCUGAAUGAACAUGGAUUUCACUGUGCACUAGAGCCGUCUUCAGGUUCAUGUAAUUAAAAAAAAAAAAAAAAUCUGCAUGGCAGUCUGUGAUUCACCCCGAGGAUAAUGACCUGUGUGUCUUUGUUUUCUCCUUGCCCUCAUGGGGGCACGCAGCACGUGUGGAGCGAGAGCGAGGACUGCCUGCCUUUCUUGCAGCUAGCGCAGGAUUACAUCUCCUCCUGUGGCAAGAAGACACUCCAUGAAGUCUUGGAAAAAGUCUUCAAGUCCUUCAGACCUGUAGGUGCCUGCUUGGCCUCUAAAGCUAGCUUGUUUUCUGCAGUCAUUGUGUUUUGAAUAACAUGGGUGGUGGGGAAAGUGGGCAAAACCCAGGCUGACUAAUUGUUUUUCUCUUGUCUGUCCUGUGGCAUAAAGAUAGCAGCCAGUGUGGGGAGGCUGUGGGGGAGGGGGAGGGGACGGGAUGUGACACAGCUGCUUGUUGCAGGGGUGAUGGUUAUUUCUAGCACCACUUGAGUUGAGAAUCCCUGAUAGGGAGGAGAGCAGACAGAUUCUAUGUGAGACAGUGGAGUGUUCCUAUUCUCGGCCAGUAGACUUCAAACCCACAAGCCUGGAAGCAGUUGGGAGGUUUUGUUUAAAUGGUGGGGUCUGUACUGAGGGUUUGCCAGAAAGCAUAUAAAUGUUAUACUUCCAUGUUUGUGGGUGCAGAUGGGGAUGAAAUUGGAUCCUGGUUCUAUUCCUUUCCCUUUUUACCAAGUCUCUUGUGCAGAGCUUGCUUUUCCCCUCCCUCUCUUGGGAUUUCGGAAUCCAUCCUUCUGUGGCUGCUGACAGGCUGUUUUCCUGCCAGCAGAUAAACAUGUAAAAUGAGUGUUUAGCCCCGCUUUGAACAUUCCCUAUUUCCCUGUCUUUAUUGGAAGUUUAGGUCAGAUGACGAAUGUCAUGAUGUUCCCCCCCAAGUUCAAUUCCCUGCCUGCUGUAAACAUUCUACAUAUUCAAUGGUAUUUGCUGUCGAAUUUCUAUUUAUUUUUUGAAUUGUUUUUAAUAUGAUCUGCUUCUCCACUGUAAUUUCUGGCUUUUAGUUCUUUGAACACAGUAGCUUGCUUGCAUAAUAGCCUGUGUCUAACAUUCCAGUGUCUCGAGAUUUAUUUCUAAGUCUGUUUGGCAUCUUUCUUUCUUUUUUCCCCUUUUGCUGCCUGUUCCUACUCCCUGNGCUCAUCCUCAUUCCUAGCUCAGGUCUCUGCUUGGGUGGGAUCAGGGCAUCAUGUCUGUUUUUUUGGAAGACUCUAGGCUUUGACUUCGGUCCACCAUCUCCUAGAAUAAGCUGAGAGUGGAGUAAAGUUUCUAGCUGCUUCUUCCAGGUCAGCAGAAGCCUACAGGACAAAAGCAGCUCUUUGUGUCAGGCAUAUCUCUCUAGAGCAUGUUUUCCAUAUUAAAUAUGAUUUUUUUUCAUAUUUUACUUGUUCUCAAUGGAACAGCUGGGGCCCAUCACUUAGGCCACCACUGUAAGGAGUGGAAUUUCAGUGGCUUUGGUCACAUUCUCUGGUUUGUAUCAUUCAUCCAAUCAGCUCAUUUUUUGUUUGUUAAUUUUGUAAGCCAGUUUGGCUCAUUCAAAAUGGGUGUUUGGGUUAAAAGUACUGGUCUUUCCUGCUUUCGGUCACCCAAUAAACAUUUCUUGAGAAGGGGAUGUGAUCCGACUUCACUUGGCACCACGUACUGCUCUGGUCCCAGCACUUGGACGGAGUGAGUGAACAUCUUGGAUCUCACAGAGCUCGCGCUCUGGACUGGGAGGACAAGAUGAACAAGUUUAUAUAUAAUGUGUCAGUAAUAGGUGCCAGGAAGGAAAGAAAGAAAUCAUGGAUGGGGCUAAGAAGUGUUAGGAAUCCUGAGGUGUUUGAUGAGGGGGAACAAGGAAAUCUUCACUGAGAGGGUAACACUGGAGUAAAAGCUAAGUCAGGAGAGAGCCAUGAGGAAAUCCAGGGGAAUAGCAGCACAGGUAGAGAAAGCAGCAAAUCCGCAGGCCUUGGGUGGCAAGCACCUGUGUUUCAGGGACAGGAAUCACCAGCCUGGCCGAAGGGGAGGGGAGACGGGACAGAGUGAGGUGAGUCCAGGGAACACAGGACCUUGCAGCUGCCCAAGGAUGUUGGGAGCCAUUGGAGGGGUUCAAGAAGAAGGGGGAUGUGAUCUGACUUCAGAUUUUGAGAGGCUGCUUUAAGGACUGUUGAGAUUAAGCUGUCAGAGGAGAAAGAAGGGACCCACAGGGAGGCUGGUCAUGUCUUCCAGGCAGACCUGAUGUGGCACCACACAGAGGUGGAAUAGAGAGCUCGGAUUCUGGGGACACCUUGAAAACAGAUCCAGCUAGACUUGCUGGUGAAUUGGAAGUGGGAUGUGAGAAAAAGAGAGACCAGGAUGACGCCCGAGUUUCUUGCCUGAGCACUGAAGGGACCCGCAUAGUCAUUGAGAUGGGGCGGGCUGUAGGAGGAAAAGAUGGGGUGUGAUUCUAUUAGAGCUCACUUUUGGACAUAUCGAUGUUUGAAAUACCUACUGGACAUCCAAGUAGAUAUAUCAAGUUAGGCAAAAUUUUUAAAAAAAUCAGUUCCUCACCAUGUGCAGUGGUACAGUCUGUAAUUUCAGCUAUUCAAGAGGUUGGGGCAGGAGGAUCAUGAAGUUUGAAGCCAGCCUAGGAAACUCAGCAAAACGCUGUCUCAAAAUAAAAAAUAAAAAAGACUGGGGUUAUAGCUUAGUGGUAGAGCACCUAGGUUCAAUCUCCAGUACAGGAGGAAAAAAUAAAAAUCCUCCAAAUCUCAACUGGAACAAAAUGCCUAUUAACAAGGAGUGUCCACUCUGCAGCUGAUUUUCUUUGGGGUGUUUGUUCAUUAGCCUGCCACCCAGUUUUCUUUACACGGAUGUCCUCUAUGCUGGAGAGCAAAGCAGCUGUGGAACUGACUGACCUGGAGAAGUAAGCGCCAGCCAGAAUUUGUUUUGUUGUUUUUCUUUACUAAGUCUGGCUGCAUUCUGGCAGUCAUAUGUGAAUGGAGGAAAAUUCUGCAGUCCAAAAAAUCCAGAUGUGUAGCUGAAAGCAGUCAGAUUGGAUGAGUUUUUUUUUUUUUUUUUUUUGGUUUGAGCUGUGUGUAUCAUGGAGACAGAUCCAGUUCCAUGAUACUGGGCUUCCAGGUUCCAUUAACAAUGUGGAGCUUUACAUUGUGAGCAGGGGUAUCACUCCCCAGGUGGAGAGGCCUUGAGCUAGCAAAGAGCCUCUUCCAUUAGGAAAGGUUACGCUUAGGGAACUGCCUUGGCUGGUCUUUGCUCCUCCUGGAAAGGCCAGUGAGAGGCUUCUUUGCAGGAUGGGGAAGGGUAGUUUGUGUGCCUUUGGGCUGUGAUGUCUCCCAGGUAGAAUGUGCACCAGAUUGGAUGAAAAAGAGUGUUGCCAGCCCCAGUAAAGGACUGUGGAGAUGAGUGGGGAAACUUGGGCCCUCUCUCUCUCCACUGAGUAGUGCACUUCUUCCUAGAGGUGCUGCUUAUGUUUGUUCAAUGAAAAGGGAGAUUUGGGUUUAGCAGGCAGACAGGAGGCUUUGCUGCUGUGGCCAGAGUUGAAAGUACUUGGUGAAGAAGCACCUACCCCAGGGCUACAGGGCUAUGGAGCAGUGAGACCAGUGCAUCAUUUCCCUGGAACUUUGUAGUGAUUGAAUCAGCUCAUGCAGUGGCUGCUGCCGCUUUGCAGUGGAGUAUCCCCAGCAGGAAUUUCUUCACCUGCAUCUUAGAACAGCUGAUCCAGGCCUUCAAAUCCCUGUCUUCCCAUGGUCACCCCAUCUCUAGGUUUUGAACUCAUGAUCCUCCUGCCCUGUGCAGUCUCUCCAGAGAGAGAAAUACCUGAUGGUCGACAGUCCUCAGCUGCCUGUUGGGACCCCUGCCAGGCACAUUCACUUGACCUUGGGCACCCUGUGUCCAUGGGCAUAAGAGCUGAGUGCUGAGGAACACCCUGCCAAGGCCAUGCCACCUGGGGCACUGUGUAUGAUAACAUCCACACUUCAGGGUCUAUACACCUGUGCCCCUCCUCUGCUUUGCCUUCCCCAUGCUGAAACAAUCAAUGUCACAGAGUUCCUCCUCUCUCAAGAAAGCUGUUGUUGGAUUUUUAAAAGAAAGAAAAAAAUAUAUAUAUAUUUUUCUUUUUAGCCAUCUUACUCCUUGUUUUUCUUCUACUUCAUCACAUUUUCAACAGAAUGUAUCAAUCUGCCUUGCAGAGUCCUGCUGGGAAGGGUGCAGGGCAGGGCACAAAAUGGCCAGUUCUUGCCCUCAGGGUGCUGGCUAGGAGAGACAGCUACAUAAACAGAGGGAAACCCCGUGGUACAGGGUAGGGCAUUGAUUUUGGCCCAGGCAUGCUUCUAGAUGCUACACUGGACAAGUUUAUUCUACUCUGUGGGUUCUUUAGGGGAAAUAUUUCUAAGAGGAUUUUUUGUGAGCAGAUACUACAUAGGGUGUUGUUUGUGGUUUUUUAGCCCAGUUAUGUGGGAUCAGGAUCCUACAGUGAUGAAGUCAAGCUCUGUGGAGAGGCCACUUGGGUUUAUUUUAGUUUGUUUGUUGUUUUUGCUAUGAGGGACUGAACCCAGGGGCACUCAACCACUAAGCCACAUCCCAACCCUUUUUUGUAUUUUAUUUAGAGAGAGGGUCUCACUGAGUUGCUUAGGGCUUCACUAAGUUGCUGAGGCUGGCUUUGAACUCAUGAUCCUCCUGCCUCAGUCUCCUGAACCACUGGGAUUAUAGGCAUGUGCCAUCACACCCGGCUCAAGCCACUUGGGUUUGAAUCCUGGAACACUUGUUGACUGGGCAUCUUUAGACUAGUUACUUAUAUUUUCUUCUGUUUCUCAGUUUUUCAUUUAUAAACCAAGGAAGCUACUGAUAAUAGUUACCUUAGGGAUUCUGGGAAGAUUAAACAGAACCAUUUUGCUGGGGUAGUUUUAUAGAGCAUCAUACGUGAUAAGCACUAAAUAAAUGUUAUAAUUGAUGUGGAUGAGGUGAAGACACGAGGCAAAAUACUGUGAGAGGUGAUCAGGACUUACUGAAAACUUUGGUGGGAGGCUUAGGUUUUUGGUAGAGAAAGAAAACAAUUUGCCAAUUAAUUUCAUCACAAGCUUGACAGAAGCAUCUGGUUAGGGCAAGGGAUUUUUAAAAGUAAGACAAAAUUUAUCAACACUGAUUUUGGGCGAAAUAAACACUCUGAGUAGCUAGUCCAUGUGGCUCACUGCUUUGGGUGCUAAGGCUACAGGAAAGAUGCAUGGAUGCUUUAUACUUUUUUAUACAUUAUACGUUUUAAAAGCUGUUUUCUUGCAAUGUGUUACAAGUGCUAGGAACGUCAGAGUCGGGGCCAGUGGAGGCACACAGGGCCAGGAAGUGGUUUCAUGAGAAGGUUCCACUGUAGACAUGCUCAGAGCAGGAUGCUGUCUAGCCAAGGAGAAGGUCCAGGAAGAGCCCAUCUUGGCUGCCUCAACUCAAGUCCUUAGCAAUGUCCCCAGGUUGGGGAGUGGGAUCAGUUACCCUACCCUGCUCCCAUGCUGUGUGGCCUCCUGGAGAUUGCUCAACUUUAGUUUCCCAUCUUUAAAAUGGGGACAGUGCCUGUUUCACUGUCUUGUGGAUCAGUGGGGAGUUAGGAAAUCAGACUGAGGACACAAAGGACUGUCAUAGUCCAGCCACCCUGCUGAGGUUGGUUUCAGUUUCUUCCUCAUGGCUGGUGUUAGGGAAUGCUCACUGGAUUCAGCUGACCAUCUUCCCUCCCAGAGUGGCCCACAUCCUAUUCCACUCCAGGGGCUCAGAGGUGUGAUUCAUUUUCUCUUCCACUGGCCCAUCAUAUCCCAGUGGUACAUGGAUGGAAAUGACAGUGACAUGCAGGAGUUGUUGCCAUCCCGUGGCAGGCACUACUCCCCAUAAAUGGCUUCAAAAACUCCACCAAUAACUGGCAAAUUGCAAGUCCAUUCUUGGAGCCCUGCAUUACGUGACCCUCAGAUGAUAGUAGCUGCCGUCAUGUGAUUGAGCUAGAUAAUGAAACAGUGAUUAUGGAUCUCAAUAAUGGUGAUUGUGCCAUUCAUUUUUUUUCUCAAUGUUUUUGUAUCUUUUUAUUUUGUGAUGAUUGACAGACUGACUCUGAAUAAAUGAGAGAAGCGAUAGCCUACUAUUUCCAAUUUUACUGCAUAACUCAAUCUCAUCUUUGCCCUUGCAAAUCCUUGCCAAUUUGUAGCAAGGGACUGCCCUUUCCUAGAGGGUUGUCUUCCGUCUCUUUCUGCCCUGUGGGCGUCAGGGUCCCCUGGAGCCUGUGGCUGUUGCAGUACAGUGUGCUGCUCUGGUUGAUGCUGCUCUGACGGUCCCCCCUGGCAUCAGAUCCUGUGGUGCCUUUGGUUUCUCUCUCCAAGUGACCCAGGUCUUUUUGCCCGAGGUCACAGUGUGACUCUGUUUCUUCUCUCAGAAAACAAAGAUGCUUCUGUCAGAAAAAAAUACCCUAAUUCCAGCUCACUGACAUGAGGAAGAUUGAUAUUUUCACUUGGCCACUAAUGACUGACGACUCAGGGAUGGUUCCCAACAGAAAUUUUUUUGUGGCCCAGAAUAGUUUAAUUCUUUUUUCUGCUCCUGUUGUCUGAACAACAGCCUGGAGAAGAAAAGGAAGCCACCUUGUGGAGCUGCCCCAGUGGGUCCCAAAGUCCCAUGAGAAAAGAUUCUGUACACUUAAUGGGUUUGAAGAAACAGUAUUGAGUGUUGGUAAAUUUAAUUUUAUCAUGGCUUUUGUUUUCUGCUCAUGUUGGAAACAUUCAAACCCUUGUUGUUUUUUUAAAAGGAAAAUGGCCCCUAGAAGUAAGAGACAUCUACCUCUUUUGCCUAUUUGGCUCCUACAUCCUGUCUUGCUGCCUAUCUCUUUUUUUCCUGGUAUCAAGGAGACUGAACAGGGCGUGGUGGUGUAUGUAUGUAAUACAGCAGCCUAGGAGUCUGAGGCAGGAGGAUUGCAAGUUCAAAGCCAGCCUCUGCAACUCAGCAAGACCCUAUCUCUAAAUAGAGUAUAAAAAAGGGCUAGGGUGUGGCUCAGUGGUUAAGUGCCUCUGGGUUCAAUCCUCAGUACCAAAAACAAAAACAAAACAAAACAAAAAAACGAUCAGGAUUCAGUCAUGGGUUUCUUGGAAUCACGAUGGUACCAAACAUCAUGGAUCACUAAGAUCAAUGGGGUCAGGUUACCCAAAUGCUUCAGCAUCUCACUACUCAGAGUAGCUACUGGACUAGAAGUAUCUCCAUCACCUGGGAGCUUCUUCAAAAUGCAGAAUUAGGUCCCACCUGAGACCCACUGCAUUUUAGGCAGAUUUCUUGGUGCAUUACCAACACAGUAAGGUUCAAGAAAUGCUGAGGGGAGCCUCUGGAAGCAGCAUAAGGGAACUCUGAAGGCCCAGGGCACCUAAUGUAUGCACCAGAGGCCUCACUGAUAGACUGCUGUCCAAGGCAGAGGCACCGCCUUCCCUCUGAUAAAGACUCUAGCCACUGAGUACAAAGAGUGCCCCCUUCAGAGUGAUGCCAAAUGUCAGCUGAAUGUGGUGUCAGAUAGAUUAUAUCAUUGUCCUGAGGCCCUCUCGUCAGACCCACAGGUGACUGGUUUUCUGGUCUUAGGACUUUAAUUCUCAGCAUUGGCAGCAUCCCUUUCACACACAGCCUGCUAGGAUGGGUGGGCCUGCGGUCCUGUGGGAUGGGAGGUUGCUCCCAGGGAGCCUGUGGGCAGCAGGGCUCUGGAAAUGCCGUAGUUCCUGCCAGAAGGAGCAGAAAUUUGUUAUUUCCCAGCUUACUGAGAAAAAAAAAAAGGGGGGGGGGAGAUGUGUGAUUAUAACUGUCAGGAAUAAUGUAAAUAUACCAGCACUUCAGCUUUUUUCACCUGUCUCCUUUUCCAGAAGGCAUGGGCACAAUAAAAGGAAGGACCCACCAGGGUGUACUCCUGACUCUAAAAUUGCUGCUGCUUCUCCUCCUCCCCUUCCUCCUCUCUUUCUCCUCUUCCUUCUGUACUGGGGAUUGAACUCAGAGGCACUUUACCACUGAACUGUGUUCCCAGUCUUUUUAUGCAGGGGGUUGGGGUGGGGUGGUAAACCAGGGAGGCACAUUCCCAGCCCUUUAUAUUUUUUAUUUUGAGACAGGGUCCUACUAAGUUGCUUAGGGCCUCACUUAAGUUGCUGAGGCUGGCUUUGAACUUGUGAUCCUCCUGCCUCAGUCUCUUGGGUUGCUGGGAUUACAGGUGUGCACCACCAUAUCUGGCUCUUCUUGGCUGUGAAAGAUUUGGAUCCAGGAGUUAAAUUUAGAUUUGGCUUCCAUAGAUGGUAAUGAGACAGAUGAGAAUGCUAGAUUAUUAUAUCUGCAUGAUAUUCUCGGAAUUCUAGGCAAAUUCUCAUUCUGGUAUUUUAGACUGUGCAUAGGUAUACAUAAAUGUAGACAUCAGCAUUGCACAUUUUCUCUUCUUUUUAUUUUUUAUUAUUUUGUGGUGCUGGAUAUCAAACCUAGGGCCUCUCAUGUGCUGUGGCAAGUGUUCUACCAUUAUGCCAUACCCUAGCCCCAGCUUGAAUAUUUUGCCCAUCUAGAUUGAAACCAAGACCUCAUGCAUGAUAGGCAAGUACUCUACACCUGAGCCACAUCCCAGCCUGGCAUUGCAUAUUUUAAAAACAUGUAUUUCUCAGUAGAAAACACUAAAACAUCUAGCUAUUAGGCACAGCAUUGACAAGCAUCUCCAGGGUAGCCUGAUGAUUAGGUAUGGAAUGUCUGUAGUCAGAUCACCUGGGUUUAGAUCCUGGCUUUGCUAUUACCAGGUGAGUUUGGCAGGUUACUUAGCCUCUCCAGGUCUUACCUGUAAAGGGGGAUAAUAAUAGCACCUCCUCAGGACAAUAGCACCUCCCCACAGGAUUAUUAUGAGGACCAAAGGAAUCAGCAUAUGUAAAGCUGCUCAAGACCAUAUCUAGCAGACAGUGAGUUAAUAUUCACCAUUAUUGAAGUAUGAGACAUCCCCUCCUUCAGUGAAAUGCUGAAUGCAAGCCUGGAAUCAAACCAAAAAGGCUGACAGAUUGAGGUUCACCAUUUUUUACUUCCUAGAGUGCUGAUUCACAGCAGGGGGGUCUAGAAAGCAGCACAGCAGGAAAGAGGCGGAGAAGCCUGGCUGGAGCAGUCUACUGAGGCAGCAGGAACUCCCUGAAUAACUGAGCUGACUGUGCCCAGCAUAAGGGAAGCAGGAGAAUCUGGCUGGGUGUUUCCAUGACGCUGGACUGUUUGCAGACCACCGCACCUGCAUGUCUUUGAGCUCCAUCUUUUGUUCCUCUGUGAGCUAGAGCAGGCGUCAUGAUUCAUGAUUCGAUUCACAGAGGAGGAUGCUGUGGCGCAGAUGUCCCCACCAAAUAGAGCCCUGGCUUCAGGACUCCAGAUCCAGUGUCUUUUCCCUCCCAGCCUCUCAGUGGAUCUGCAGCCCCUGCACUAAGUGCCUGAACAACCCAGAAAAUCAUCAAGAAUGGGCUUCUCUUCUUCAACCCCUGCAAAAUGUAAGGGGUGAGCAGUUCUUCCAAAAACAAUCAAAACACUUCCUGCUAAAGUGGAGGGCUUCCCUUGUGGCUGGUGCUCUAGGACCUGUGACUGUGUGCUUUGAAGGUUAAGGUAGGGAGCUAGAAAGAGGAGGGGGAGAGAGCUGGCUUCAUGCUUGGCCUGCUGGGUCCUCUUCAACAAGGCAUGCUAAACUGAUGAGCCGGAGAGUGUUAAGUGCUCUUCAGCUUGGAUCAAUGUGUAUCACCUGGUUCCUAGCAAGGAGAAUGGUGGAUGGCAUGUCUAUUUGGGACAAGGAGGCUCAGCUGCACCCUCCUUAUCCAUGACAGUCAUUGCUAACUGACCUUAAUCUUUCCCCCUGAGUCUCAGAAUUCUGAACCCAGGACUCCAGGAAGCUCUUACCAGUCACAUCUGUUAAGUGAGAGGAUCCCGUUGUCCAUUUCUCAUUUACUGGCAUCCCUUCAGUGAAGUGAACAGUUAAUUUAUUUUGAAUUUCUGCAUCUUCAAUUGGUGUUUAGGUGACUCGGGAAUUCCUGGUCAUGGCAACAAGGUAUUUACCAGCUAUUAGGGAGGUGACCACUCUGACACUUCCACUUUGCUGUAUCAUCAAGCAGCUCUUCAAAUAAAACUUGGCCACUUCAUUGGCACACAGUGGUCAUCUGUGUUCAUUGUGACCAGCCGUCUUUUCUCUCUUUGGAGGCAACUGUUUUAUUCCAUCCACUAAAACCUAGAAGUGAGACAGUAGUAAGAAAAAGGGGGCUUCUCUUUUCUCCCAUUCACAUCCGAGAUUAGCACACCCUGUCCAGACAAAUUGAGACCCACCCUUCCUGCCCUUCUCCUCCAAGGUGACCAUGUUGCUCUGAGACAGCUGUAGUACAUGCCCAAGGGGACAGUAUGUGUCUACAGUGGUCUAUGUCUACCUUAGCAGGCCAUGUACAUAGUAUGACCAAUAAUGCCUCAUAGAUGAUUUUGUCCUGAGUAUGUCUAUAGGGCACUGUGGGAUCUGUGAGAGUUGCAGUUCUAGAACUUCAGAGCACAGGCAUUAUUUCGAUUGGACCUCUACUUUCACUCUUUCCCCAUUUGAGCAAUUAGGAGGAAGUUGGGGAGAAGGUGGCAGGACAGUAGACAGGCAAUACAGACUAAACAGAAUGAUAACGCUGACGCUGACUUUUUUUUGUUGGUUUUUUAUUUUUUAAUCAGGGAUUGAACUCGGAGGCACUCAACCACAGAGCCACAUCCCCAGUCAUAUUUUGUAUUUUAUUUAGAGACAGGGUCUCACUGAGUUGCUUAGUGUCUCUGUUGCUGAGGCUGGCUUUGAACUCACCAUUCUCCUGUUUUAGUCUCCUGAGCUGCUGGGAUUACAGGCAUGCGCUACCAUGCCCUGUGAUUUUUUUGUGUCUUAAUUCUGUUCGUGUUUGAGCCAUUAGGGCAACUUGGUGAUGUGGCUUGAAAGUGAUCAGUCCCUAGGCCACUAUAUCAAAAAGUCUUUUGGUCACUCACUGCCAGGUUGUCACCGAUAAACUCAGGAUCCCUGAAGGUCAAGACUUCCUUCUGGCACAAGAGCUUUGGAUUCAUACUAACCAGACCUGGCAAAUGGCACUGUUUCCAACCAAAGACCUGACUGUGCCUUUCAAAAAUGUUUAUCAUGAAUUCACUCUGAAUGUUCCUGAUCAUCCUUAGAGUGUUGGGAAAUAUAAAAAGAUGAAAAAGGGAAAAAAUAUCCAUCAUCCCAUAAACUAACCAAAAAAUUUCAACAUUUAGAUAUAUUUUAUUGAAGUCUUUUUAAUGCAUCUAUGUAUAAAUUUUUAGAAAACUGUCUCAUAUUGAACGUGCAAUUUUACCAAUUUUACACUUAAGUACCAAUUUUUAUAUCAUUAAAUAAUUCAAAAACACCAUUUUAAGUGGAUAUGUUAAGAGUUCAUCUUACUGACACACCAUAAUUUAUUUAACUCUUUUGCUGAUGAACAUUUUAGUUGUCUCAACAUUUUUAUGAAUCGCUAUUCAUAAUAGCAUGUGUUUGGGGGGGAGAAAAUAGAAUAGGAGACAGAGUUUUUCAUGUCUUGAUGGAAUGUCAGUGCUGUUCAUCAUAUGCUAUCACUAACCUCACAGAUAUAUGCAUGUGCACACAGAUUUUAUGUUCCUGCAUAGAUAUACAGUAUGCUUUUUUUUUUACAGCUCAAAAAGCAUUUUUUUUUUAUAUCGAGGAUUCAAUUCAAGGGCACUUAACUACUGAGCCACAUUCCCAGCCCUAUUUUGUAUUUUAUUUAGGGACAGGGUCUUGCUGAGUUGCUUAGCGCCUUGCUAAGUUGCUGAGGCUGGCUUUGAACUUGCAAUCCUCCUGCCUCAGCAUCCUGAGCCACUGGGAUUAUAGGCAUGUGCCACCUCCCCUGACAAAAAAAGCACUUUUUAAAUUAGACCUUUAUGGGUGUGCAUAGUAAUUGGGUUCAUCCUGACAGAUUCAUACAUGCAUGGAAUUCAACUUCAGUUCAUGAUCCCCCUUUUCCCUGCCCUCCCCCAUUCUCCUUCCUCUACUAGACUUCCUUUCACUCUUCUAUUUAUUUACAUUUGAUUGGUUAUUUUUACUUUGCAUAAAGGUGAGCUUCCCUGUGGUAUAUUUAUAUAUGCACAUAAAAUGAUUUUUUAAGAAUUCAUUUUGCAUGUUUGCCUAGCAUGUUUGAUACUUAAAAAAAGGGACUCUACAGGCUGCCCAGAAAAACUGAGCCUUUGAGACACUAAUCAUAAAGGAUUAACAUUCUCUUCCAGUAAAUUAUAAAAACAGUGGUAGUGGGCGGGGCAGGGUGCACACCUGUAAUCCCAGCUACUCAGGAGGUUUAGGCAGGAGGAUUGCAAGUUCAAGCCUAGCUUGGGUAACUAAGUGAGACCCUGCCUCAAAAAUAAACAGUGAAAAGGGCUGGGGAGCUGGGCACAGUGGUGCUUGCCUGUAAUUCCAGGCUUGGGAGGCUGAGCAAGAGGAUUGCAAGUUCAAAGCCAGCCUCAGCAAAAGUGAGACGCUAAGCAACUCAAUGAGACCCUGUCUCUAAAUAAAAUACAAAAAUAGGGCUGGGGAUGUGGCUCAGUGAUUGAGUGCUUCUGAGUUCAAUCCCUGGUACUAAAAAAAAAAAAAAAAAAAAGGAUUGGGGAUGUAGCUCAGUGGUAGAGUGCCCCUGGGUUCAAUGUUCAGUACUGCAAAAAGCAAAGUAAAAAUCAGCGGUAGGAGUAGUUGAGUCUUGGAAAACAAAUUGUAGCUUCUCUGUUGAGUCCUUUGAGGUGCUGUUUAAUGGGAUGUGAUGCCUUUGCUUGUCUUCCUGCCUGUGGUCCAUUUGGUGCUCACAGCUGCUUCUCUCUCCUUCUCUUCCUGUAGUUACUGGGGCUUCCGGAUGCAGAUGAUGAUGCAUUUGAAGAGUACAGUGCAGAUGUGGAGGAGGAGGAACCAGAAGCGGACCACCCCCAAAUGGGGGUCAGUCAGCAGUAAACCUCCAAGGGCACCUUCUGGAGAAGGAGAGUGAGCCCACUGUACCCUAGGUGGGGUCCUGUGCUCCUGGGUUAGCAUUAGCACUUCAAAACAGGACGUCUGGCUCCCAGCAUCCAAAUUAAAAUGAAUUACCUUUUUAAUGACCACACAAUAUCUGUGAUGAGCUUUGCUCAGAAGUGACCUGAAUUUCAGUCCCGCUUCAGUGGGGUUUCUAUGGAGUUGUCUUGGUAGCCUUUGCCACUUUGAAUUUAGAGUCUUUUGUGGCUGCCUAUUCUCUCUUGAGUUUAUGUUGGAGAAUUAACGUUCGCUGACUGGAAUGUAGAGAACUCUGAAUGUAUUAAGGAUGUGUUUUGAGUCCUCGCAGGUGACCUGGCUGAGGAACAGCAUGGCAGAGAAGCAAUGCAGUCUGCACUUUUAUGUACCUUUUAAGUGUCCGUAAGUGAAAGGUUUUGCUUAUAAAGCAUGAGUUUAAAUAUCUAGUCAUUAAACUGCACAAGUGCAAAUACNCAUCUAUGUAUAAAUUUUUAGAAAACUGUCUCAUAUUGAACGUGCAAUUUUACCAAUUUUACACUUAAGUACCAAUUUUUAUAUCAUUAAAUAAUUCAAAAACACCAUUUUAAGUGGAUAUGUUAAGAGUUCAUCUUACUGACACACCAUAAUUUAUUUAACUCUUUUGCUGAUGAACAUUUUAGUUGUCUCAACAUUUUUAUGAAUCGCUAUUCAUAAUAGCAUGUGUUUGGGGGGGAGAAAAUAGAAUAGGAGACAGAGUUUUUCAUGUCUUGAUGGAAUGUCAGUGCUGUUCAUCAUAUGCUAUCACUAACCUCACAGAUAUAUGCAUGUGCACACAGAUUUUAUGUUCCUGCAUAGAUAUACAGUAUGCUUUUUUUUUUACAGCUCAAAAAGCAUUUUUUUUUUAUAUCGAGGAUUCAAUUCAAGGGCACUUAACUACUGAGCCACAUUCCCAGCCCUAUUUUGUAUUUUAUUUAGGGACAGGGUCUUGCUGAGUUGCUUAGCGCCUUGCUAAGUUGCUGAGGCUGGCUUUGAACUUGCAAUCCUCCUGCCUCAGCAUCCUGAGCCACUGGGAUUAUAGGCAUGUGCCACCUCCCCUGACAAAAAAAGCACUUUUUAAAUUAGACCUUUAUGGGUGUGCAUAGUAAUUGGGUUCAUCCUGACAGAUUCAUACAUGCAUGGAAUUCAACUUCAGUUCAUGAUCCCCCUUUUCCCUGCCCUCCCCCAUUCUCCUUCCUCUACUAGACUUCCUUUCACUCUUCUAUUUAUUUACAUUUGAUUGGUUAUUUUUACUUUGCAUAAAGGUGAGCUUCCCUGUGGUAUAUUUAUAUAUGCACAUAAAAUGAUUUUUUAAGAAUUCAUUUUGCAUGUUUGCCUAGCAUGUUUGAUACUUAAAAAAAGGGACUCUACAGGCUGCCCAGAAAAACUGAGCCUUUGAGACACUAAUCAUAAAGGAUUAACAUUCUCUUCCAGUAAAUUAUAAAAACAGUGGUAGUGGGCGGGGCAGGGUGCACACCUGUAAUCCCAGCUACUCAGGAGGUUUAGGCAGGAGGAUUGCAAGUUCAAGCCUAGCUUGGGUAACUAAGUGAGACCCUGCCUCAAAAAUAAACAGUGAAAAGGGCUGGGGAGCUGGGCACAGUGGUGCUUGCCUGUAAUUCCAGGCUUGGGAGGCUGAGCAAGAGGAUUGCAAGUUCAAAGCCAGCCUCAGCAAAAGUGAGACGCUAAGCAACUCAAUGAGACCCUGUCUCUAAAUAAAAUACAAAAAUAGGGCUGGGGAUGUGGCUCAGUGAUUGAGUGCUUCUGAGUUCAAUCCCUGGUACUAAAAAAAAAAAAAAAAGGAUUGGGGAUGUAGCUCAGUGGUAGAGUGCCCCUGGGUUCAAUGUUCAGUACUGCAAAAAGCAAAGUAAAAAUCAGCGGUAGGAGUAGUUGAGUCUUGGAAAACAAAUUGUAGCUUCUCUGUUGAGUCCUUUGAGGUGCUGUUUAAUGGGAUGUGAUGCCUUUGCUUGUCUUCCUGCCUGUGGUCCAUUUGGUGCUCACAGCUGCUUCUCUCUCCUUCUCUUCCUGUAGUUACUGGGGCUUCCGGAUGCAGAUGAUGAUGCAUUUGAAGAGUACAGUGCAGAUGUGGAGGAGGAGGAACCAGAAGCGGACCACCCCCAAAUGGGGGUCAGUCAGCAGUAAACCUCCAAGGGCACCUUCUGGAGAAGGAGAGUGAGCCCACUGUACCCUAGGUGGGGUCCUGUGCUCCUGGGUUAGCAUUAGCACUUCAAAACAGGACGUCUGGCUCCCAGCAUCCAAAUUAAAAUGAAUUACCUUUUUAAUGACCACACAAUAUCUGUGAUGAGCUUUGCUCAGAAGUGACCUGAAUUUCAGUCCCGCUUCAGUGGGGUUUCUAUGGAGUUGUCUUGGUAGCCUUUGCCACUUUGAAUUUAGAGUCUUUUGUGGCUGCCUAUUCUCUCUUGAGUUUAUGUUGGAGAAUUAACGUUCGCUGACUGGAAUGUAGAGAACUCUGAAUGUAUUAAGGAUGUGUUUUGAGUCCUCGCAGGUGACCUGGCUGAGGAACAGCAUGGCAGAGAAGCAAUGCAGUCUGCACUUUUAUGUACCUUUUAAGUGUCCGUAAGUGAAAGGUUUUGCUUAUAAAGCAUGAGUUUAAAUAUCUAGUCAUUAAACUGCACAAGUGCAAAUACAAGGGCAGAAAAGGAUGAUCACUUAGCUUUGGAUUAAGAGGGUAAGAGAGGCAGAGAAGCCUGGAGUGUUUCGCCAUCACUGAGCUGGUUACCUGGUACAUAGCAGCUGGUUCCUGGUUAGAUAUAAAUGUUACUUGCUUGUUCAGUUGUUUUAAAAAUGCUAAUUCCAAAGCCACUUUUUAGUCUAAUAGUGGAAAAUAUAAAGGGGUGAAAGACUAAAACUAACAAUUUCUUUAAGCAUUUUAUAAACCAUCCCAUAUAUGAAAUGAGACAUUUACCGUCUGUCUUUCUAAUGAGAUGGCCACUUGUUAAAUCAAGAAAAUGCCCAGAAUCCAAGUAAGUGCCACUUAAACUUUGAAGCCAUAGAUUCAUAUAUAAAUUUAGUAGGAAAAUAAACCAGGAUAAAAAUUUUUUUAAAAAGUAUAACGGAAUCCUUUACUUUCUUAAUCUUUUAUUCUUAAAAAAAAUAGUCAAGAAAAGGCUCCCGUUCUUUAAUUUGUUUAAAAUUAUAACAAGUACUUUAAGGAACCUAAUAGUAGUGAACUUUUAAAGUAACAUGAAAAUAGGCAACUUGAUGAUUGGGUGGCUUGGUUAAAGGGGGCAUAUUUAAUGAUCAAGAUACUCAGACAACUCACAGAAACAACUGCUGUCUUCAUUUAGCCAACAAAUGCUUACUGGGGACAUCUCUGUAAUGCCAGGUUGGAACUAUUUGACAUACUCGUUUUCUUGGACCUCGGGCAUCAUCUCUGGUUCUAAUCACGUAGGAUGUGGAAUGAAUGCCUCUUUUACAGCACUUGACUUCCUCUAGCAUCUGGGCUGGGAAUGUUCCAAACAUGCACACAUGUGCCCGUUAGGUUGUCAGUAUUUUGAAUUAAAAAAAUCAGUAGCAGAGGCCACAGAACUCAUGGGAGUCUUGUACAUCUUCCAGGCAUGUUGGUGUGAACCUGAUCGUCUUAGCAUUUUCUGUUUAAUUAAGUGGUGCUGUGAGGAGCUUGGCUACUCGUGGUCUAAUAGUGUGCUGUACUUUUCUGUCAUUGGUAAAUAACACGGUGGUCUCCAUCCGUGCUCCAGUGAUCCAUGUUUUAUUCUUUUCUUGGGAAAGCACAUUAAAGGUUAAUUUCAAGUCAGAUCAAUUUCCCUAGAGUAACCUAUUAGCAAAAGCAGACUCAGCGAUUCAUCCAUUGGGGUGUGUCCUGCCUCAGCAGCCCUGCCCCGUGCCCACUGGCUCUGCCCUGAACAGAGGUCAUCAUGAGCUGACAUCUGCAGAGAGUGCCCAGGUUUGGUACCUCCAGUUCUAAGGUAAACUGGAAUUUACACACAGAGGGCUUUACAUCUAAAUUUACAUAUGCUUGGGAAUGGAAUGGUUGUUACUAUAGAAUAUAUCUUAUCAAAAAAAAUGUUUAGACUUGAACCAGACACAUUUUGGUAUCACCAUGUUCAUGUUCUGUUUAUAAAAAUUGAGCUGAAAUGGUCAGCCAUUCACUGAGAAUUCUGGUCUCUGUUCUGCCUCAGUGGUUGGGGAGAGAUCACUGUGUGACUUAUUUCAUGGUAAAACCCCAAAGGCUUUAAGCAGAUCCAAUUGUUUCCUCUAAAACUUCCUUCUCUGAUGGUGUGCACAUCCCUGCAGUGCUCUGGUGUGCUUACUCAAACAUUCCCUCCAGCCCACACAUGGAUACUCUCGUUGGCACCUGCCGGUCAGUUAGAUUGGGCAGCCUGUGUUAGGGAAUUGAUUCUGUGGUGCAACAGGUGUGGGACCUUUCAUAGACACUCACUAGGAGGUACAGCUGUGUGCUGGGGUGAGGAAAGACACCUAGGUUCUAGCCUUGACUCUGCCUUUUUUUUUUGGUACCAGCGAUUUAAUCCACGGGCUGUCCCCACUGAGCCACAUCCUCAGCCUUUUUUAUUUUUUAUUUUAAGUUGCUUAGGGCCUUUCUAAAUGGCUGAGGUGGUCUCAAACUUGAGAUCCUCCUGCCUCAGCCUCCCCAGUUGCUGGAAUUACAGGUGUGCACUGCCACAUCUGGCUUGCCUCUGCUAUUGACUGUGGGAUCUUGAUGAGUUAUUUGGCUAGUCUCUGGAACAGGGGUAUUUACUCUUCCAGCUUUUAAGACUGGCCUUCUUUACCUGCUUAACCAACUGUGUGUAUGUAGGAGCAACCAUCAAGGACACUUAGAGACACAAAAAGAAAUGUGUUUGGAAUCUUGCCAAAGAUACUGUCCUUAGGAUGCUGGCCCCGUGGACUGCUUUAGAAAGUGUUGAUUUGUGAGUGUCCAAACUUCUGGAGCCUGGGAUGGGCCCCAGCCUGUGUGGCUGAUGAAAUCCUGUUUCUCCUAGGAGAGGGCACAGGGAAGCCCCAGAAGAUGUGCUUAUCUCAGCUGUACAUAUGCUGCCUGUGGAGGGCAUAGCUUCUUAGUGUCCCAACAUUGGAGGCUUUGGAAGUGGUAUGCAUUUAGCUUAACUGAGAGGGGAGAUUUGCAUGUAGAACAAUUGAAAGACAGUGAAAGAAGUCCUUUGACUUUUACCCUGUCAUUCAGGAGAGAGAAAGUAAAGUGUGUGUGUGGGGGGGUGAAUGUGGGGGAUGUGCUGAUUGCUUGUUGAUCCCUGUGGCCAGCAGUGAAAUCUGGAAAUCAUGCCUGUGAUAACACACCAAACGUUGAUCCUGGGUUUGAGUGAAACAUGGAGACGUUUUUUCUGGCUGCUUGGUUGCUUUCCUCUGUCUGAUGCGUGGAGCAGGCUUCAGGGAACUGCAGGGACUGCAGGCCCAGGGAGGGUGAAGCCCCACGCAGUGCCUGGCACCACCAUGGGUUCAGUGCACCGAGGUGUCCACCCGUGUCCCCCAGGCCCACAGCAGCACAUGGUACAUUGUUCUUCCACGAGCAGAACACAAAAAGUCUGUUAUGUCGGGAGAUUGUCCUUAUGUCCUGGUGCCAGAAUUGGGCUCCCAGUGUACUUAAGAGAAAACUUCUCUAGUAGCAACUGUCAUUGUUCACGUAUAAACGGAAACUGUUCUCUAGCACAAUAUGCGUCUCUGAAUACUGUUCCAGUUUCAUAAGAGCACAAAGUGGAUGGUCCUAGGGGAGCUGUGAUCCCAGAACAUCGGUGCAGUUGAUAUUUUAGGAACCUGCUGGGCAUGUUUAAAUUCAUGAGCUGAGAAACUAGUAUGAACAAAUCUGGCUUCGCAUAGCGAGAGGCACGUAGGAAUCCACAGGACUUCAUUUGGGGUGGGAGGAGAGGAAUAGGCACAAUGAAGGAGUUAGGUGUCUAAGUCAGGUGUCUUGAGUUGGGGGGGCACCCUUGACAGUUACCCCAUGAGGUGCAGGAAAACUGUUUUCCUGGCUGACUCUAGGGGCCUCCUAGCUUCAGAGAAUUGACUGCAGAGAGGACUGAGAGGAAAGGCCUUGUGCUGGUGAUGGCUUUGUGAUUUUAAAAAUGUCCCCGCACCCCCGGUCCCUAGGCCAAAAGAUGCAUUAGGUGUUCUGCACAUCUGGUGACAUUCCUUCCCUUACUAAAACCAGCUGCCGGCCAGAGAAGCCUGUCUUCCAAGAGUGCUGACAGAUCCAAGAGCAGCUAUCAUCACAGGCAGGUAGAACAGAAACCCAACUUGGGUCUCACCAGGGCUGCCAGAGGCCCUUGUCGGGCACAACCAUCUGCUUCACCUGCUUCAGGGUUGCAGAAAGAGCACAGUGAAAAUCCCAGUGAGCACUGACUCCAAAGAGAUGUCACUGCCUGUCGGUUGCUUCAUCUUCAGAGAAGCCUAACUUUUUUUUUGCAUUAAAAAAUAAUCUUCUUUCAUAAAGACCCAGUUUUCUUGGUUUUAUUAUAACAGGUAUGACAUGAGAAGCUGAGGUCUUUUAGGUUUUAUAUGGAAUAAUUUUAACACUUGACAGAAUGCCAGUAGCCCAGGGUGUCCAUGGCAGUGUACUGUCAGCAUUUCAUGUUCGAAACCCCGCUUAUAGCACCAGAAGGCUGAAGAGGCACAAGCAGUUCAUGGUGUGUACCAGGCCACACAAAAAUCAAUACUGAAUUGGAACUGUACUUAAGUUGUUUGGUACUAGAGAGGAAGCUGACAGUCUGUUCUUGGUAAACUAUCUUCCCCUGGUUUUUUCUUCCAUUUUGUUAUUGUUUCUCAAGAUUCAUUUCUUUACCAGGUACUUUCUGAUACAAGCAUCAAGUCGCAGAGUACUCUGUACAAGCGUCAGCUUUGUAGAGGAGGAAGUAAACCUUCAGUGCCAGGCAAAUUGGAACCCAUCUGCCUGUCAGUCCCAGUUGGUGUAUGAGAGCACAUUUAGCCAUCGACAGGAGAAGCAGAAGCAAGGAACAAUUGUUUUUGUUGGUUUUGGUUUUUUUGGGUUUUUUUUUUAGGCAAGACGUGUUUCCUGUAGGGUGUGUGUACUUUCUUUGCCUUCACAUUUCCUUUGAAAGAAAUCUCUUGUAAAUUACAAAACUGUGAAAUGGGUUGCCAAAAACCGUUGCCCUUUGUUAGAUGCCUCGAACAGUGGAAAAAAAAUCUCUCCUGCACCCUGUCCACAUCUGCUCCCUCCUCCCUUCCCUGGAGGGAGGAUCUCAUCCAACGAUGUAAUUACCAUACGCUUGCUAUUAAAGAGCCUUCCAAACCCUGCUGGUGUGUGU